GGCAGAGAACCGCUUCCAAUUUACAACAAUGUUCGACUCCAAUUCUGAGAUUAUGAACAUGGUCACCUUGCUUUGAGAGGGGACAUUUGGCCUCUACUGUCUGUAGGUACUCACACACACACAGGGACAUUUGGCCUCUGCUGUCUGUAGGUACUCACACACACACAGGGACAUUUGGCCUCUGCUGUCUGUAGGUACUCACACACACACAGGGACAUUUGGCCUCUGCUGUCUGUAGGUACUCACACACACACAGGGACAUUUGGCCUCUGCUGUCUGUAGGUACUCACACACACACAGGGACAUUUGGCCUCUGCUGUCUGUAGGUACUCACACACACACAGGGACAUUUGGCCUCUGCUGUCUGUAGGUACUCACACACAGGGACAUUUGGCCUCUGCUGUCUGUAGGUACUCACACACAGGGACAUUUGGCCUCUGCUGUCUGUAGGUACUCACACACAGGGACAUUUGGCCUCUGCUGUCUGUAGGUACUCACACACAGGGACAUUUGGCCUCUGCUGUCUGUAGGUACUCACACACAGGGACAUUUGGCCUCUGCUGUCUGUAGGUACUCACACACAGGGACAUUUGGCCUCUGCUGUCUGUAGGUACUCACACACAGGGACAUUUGGCCUCUGCUGUCUGUAGGUACUCACACACAGGGACAUUUGGCCUCUGCUGUCUGUAGGUACUCACACGCAGGGACAUUUGGCCUCUGCUGUCUGUAGGUACACACACACAGGGACAUUUGGCCUCUGCUGUCUGUAGGUACUCACACAGGGACAUUUGGCCUCUGCUGUCUGUAGGUAUUCACGGUGACACGCAGGGCCAAGUGACCGUCCAAAAACACACAUUCUGACCCAUCUUUAAAAUAGC